rfam:Acyrthosiphon pisum strain LSR1 Contig2453, whole genome shotgun sequence.
UCCCUGGUUGAUCCUGCCAGUAGUCAUAUGCUUGUCUCAAAGAUUAAGCCAUGCAUGUCUCAGUGCAAGCCGCAUUAAGGUGAAACCGCGAAAGGCUCAUUAAAUCAGUUGUGGUUCCUUAGAUCGUACCCAAGUUACUUGGAUAACUGUGGUAAUUCUAGAGCUAAUACAUGCCGACAGAGUUCCGACCGUCGCGGCGCCCUCGGGCGUCGCUCGCGGGAGGAACGCUUUUAUUAGAUCAAAACCGGCCCGUCGCGGCGCGCUUCGUGCGCGUCCCGAUCGCGGCCCGCGCAAAGACCUGGUGACUCUGAAUAACUUCGAGCUGAUCGCACGGUCUCCGUACCGGCGACGCAUCUUUCAAAUGUCUGCCUUAUCAACUGUCGAUGGUAGGUUCCAUGCCUACCAUGGUGGUAACGGGUAACGGGGAAUCAGGGUUCGAUAUCCGGAGAGGGAGCCUGAGAAACGGCUACCACAUCCAAGGAAGGCAGCAGGCGCGCAAAUUACCCACUCCCGGAACGGGGAGGUAGUGACGAAAAAUAACGAUACGGGACUCAUCCGAGGCCCCGUAAUCGGAAUGAGAACACUUUAAAACCUUUAAACGAGGAUCAAUUGGAGGGCAAGUCUGGUGCCAGCAGCCGCGGUAAUUCCAGCUCCAAUAGCGUAUAUUAAAGUUGUUGCGGUUAAAAAGCUCGUAGUCGGAUCUGUGUCUGGACGGUGCCGGACCACCCUGGCGGUCCGUCGUGUCGCGGCCGGCCGUGUCGCGGGACCACGUGUCCCGUCGGCGCGGUCGCCGUCGCGCUCGUCAGCCGUCUCGGGGUGUUAGUUACCGGCACGUCGGCCGGACGUAUUGUCGGCAGGCGGACACGUGUCUCGUGCUUCCGGCGCGCCGCGCGGCCACGCGUCGCGCGGCCGUCGGUGUUCGACGACGGCGGCCGCCUACUCCAAUCUUGCUGCGCGGUGCUCUUCACCGAGUGCCGUCGGCGGGCCGACACGUUUACUUUGAACAAAUUAGAGUGCUCAAAGCAGGCUCGAAUCUGGCGGGGCGGCUUCACGGCCGUCUCGUCAAAAGGCCCUGAAUACUGGUCGCAUGGAAUAAUGGAACAAGACCUCGGUCCCGCGCAUCUCCGCCCUUCGCGGGCGCGCGAAAUCGCCCUCCGGGGCGUUUCCGUGCGCGGGCCGCCGGGCCGCGGGCGCCAGUCGCCCGCGCGUCCCGCCGGGCCGGUUUUCGGGACCGGAGGUAAUGAUCAACAGAGACGGGCGGGGGCAUUCGUACCGAGACGUUAGAGGUGAAAUUCUUGGAUCGUCUCGAGACGAACUGACGCGAAAGCAUUUGCCAAGUACGUUCUCGUAUGAUC